rnacentral:rRNA from 1 species
CCAACAGGGAUUGCCUCAGUAACGGCGAGUGAAGCGGCAAUAGCUCAAAUUUGAAAUCUGGCCUCUCGGGGUCCGAGUUGUAAUUUGUAGAGGAUGUUUUGGGUACCGCCCCGGUUUAAAUUUCUUGGAGCAGAAUGUCAGAGAGGGUGAGAAUCCCGUCUUGGACCGGCGUAGGGCCUGUGUAAAACUCCUUCGACGAGUCGAGUUGUUUGGGAAUGCAGCUCAAAAUGGGUGGUAAAUUUCAUCUAAAGCUAAAUAUUGGCCAGAGACCGAUAGCGCACAAGUAGAGUGAUCGAAAGAUGAAAAGCACUUUGAAAAGAGAGUUAAACAGUAUGUGAAAUUGUUGAAAGGGAAGCGCUUGCAACCAGACUUGAGCGCGGCGGUUCCCCCAGCCUUUUGGCUGGGCUACUCCGUCGUGUCCAGGCCAACAUCGGUUCGGAGGGUCGGUUAAAGGCUCUGGGAAUGUACCUACCCACGGGUAGACUUAUAGACCAGGGUGUCAUGCGACCUCUCGGGACCGAGGAACGCGCUUCGGCUCGGAUGU